UCCCUCCUGCUGGGGAAUCAUCCCUCAGAGAGCCAUGGCUGUUUGUAAAGAUUUCAAUUUUGAGGAUUCAAACCUCAAUUUCUCGAGAUUAGAUGUAUCCAUGUCUUUUCUCAAGAUUUCCGAGACAGAAGAAACUAUGGAUGAAUCUGAUACAAGUUCUAUGGAUCAGGAGCAAGAAGAUGAUGA